GGCUCAGGAUGAACGCUAGCGGCAGGCUUAACACAUGCAAGUCGAGGGGCAUCGGGAGUAGCAAUACUUGCCGGCGACCGGCGCAAGGGUGCGUAACGCGUGAGCAACAUGCCCGUAUCAGGGGGAUAAUCCAUGGAAACGUGGUCUAAUACCCCAUAGUAAUUAUGUAAGGCAUCUUAUAUAAUUUAAAGCUUUGGUGGAUACGGAUUGGCUCGCGUGACAUUAGCUGGAUGGUAAGGUAACGGCUUACCAUGGCUACGAUGUCUAGGGGUUCUGAGAGGAAGGUCCCCCACACUGGAACUGAGACACGGUCCAGACUCCUACGGGAGGCAGCAGUGAGGAAUAUUGGACAAUGGAUGGAAAUCUGAUCCAGCCAUGCCGCGUGCAGGAAAGACGGCCCUAUGGGUUGUAAACUGCUUUUGUAUGGGAGCAAUAAGGGCUACGUGUAGUCCGAUGAGAGUACCAUACGAAUAAGCACCGGCUAACUCCGUGCCAGCAGCCGC
rnacentral:rRNA from 1 species